rnacentral:rRNA from 1 species
UACGUAGGGGGCAAGCGUUGUCCGGAAUCAUUGGGCGUAAAGAGCGUGUAGGCGGCCCGAUAAGUCCGCUGUGAAAGUCCAGGGCUCAACCCUGGAAUGCCGGUGGAUACUGUCGGGCUCGAAUCAGGAAGAGGUGAGUGGAAUUCCUGGUGUAGCGGUGAAAUGCGCAGAUAUCAGGAGGAACACCAAUGGCGAAGGCAGCUCACUGGGACGGUAUUGACGCUGAGACGCGAAAGCGUGGGGAGCAAACAGG